AUGUGGCCUGCACCAGUGCUUCUGCUCGUCCAGUCGGCUCUGCUGAUUCAAGGAUCUUCCGCCCAGGAUUUGUUGAUCCAGACGGACAAAAUCAAGUAUGUCGGUCUUGGUGGGACGGUGACCAUCAGCGCCAAAGGGAACUCACACACUGGUGCUUAUCUCAGUUGGUACCAAGUGAAACCUGGACAGGUUCCUAAACCUCUGAUCUACGGUGCAUCAUAUCUUUCUUCUGGAACACCAUCUCGAUUCAGUGGCACACAAUCUGGCUCUGACUACACUCUGACUAUCAGUGGUGUUCAGGCAGAAGAUGUCGCUGAUUACUACUUUUUUGCCCAUUUUGGAGGUGGAAGGUAUACACGGUGAUUGAGAGCUGUACAAAAACCUCCUUUGGUUUGAGGGAAGUGAAAGUGGAAGAUGAUGAUGACUGGUCCACUGAACAAAGAUCACCAAGCAGAACCAGCGUCAAUCUGAACAAGUUGAUUGGCUUGUAAGAAAAAGUUGAAAUGAGGGAAGAAGAAGUCACACUAACACUCAGGGCC